CAUGGAUCAUAUACAAUAUAUACAUAUAUAUGCUCCAUUGAUCAUCAGAUGGAUCCGGUGAUGAAGAUUUCUUGUCUGUAACAACUCCCGUUAAUCUAAAUGCUAACCACAAAGCAUCUUCAUGUGUGUCUCUACAACAUGAUAAUGGGUACACUACUUCCUCAACUCCAUGGAGCAACUCUUCCAGCAGAGAAAGAUGGCUGCA
rnacentral:misc_RNA from 1 species